CUCGCGGGCGAGGGCUACUUCGACCACACCAAGUGCCACCGGCUGACCAGCGCCGGCAUCUACGUGCUGCAG
rnacentral:tRNA from 1 species